rnacentral:lncRNA from 1 species
GGCAUUUCGGUCAAUAAAAGAAGUUGUCUAAAUAAACUCCACACUGGUCUGCUGCAGGUGCUACAGGGAUGGCAAGCAGAAGAACAGACAAAAGUUCUCUGUCAUCAGCAGCAGACUGGAUCGAAGAACUGUAGGACAAAGAAUGGCUUUUGCUACUCAAGUCUACCAUAUGCUUAUGGAAAAGAGAGUGCUGGGACAGAAGACAACUGGAAAGUGCCUAGCAGGUAUUCGUGUGAGGCCACGGUCAUCGGGUGGAAAUCUGCAUGGGGCGGAGGUGGCUGCACCGUGUGGAAAUCCCAGCUCAGAUGGGAAGGAUGCAGAGAGCUGGGUAGGACGAACACCGAAAGGAGAGGAGAAUCUGAUGCAGUGAAAUGUCCUGGUUAUUUGAUGGCAGGAAUGAGGAAGGUGCUCUCUGAAAAGGAGAACAGUGGGUACUUUGUCGGCUACCACCACUCAAGUGAAAUCCAGGUCAUGUCGAUUUCAGACCUUUUUAUUAGUCACUGCAUUCUUUAUUUCAUGCAUGCAUUAUUUCCACUGUGUCUUUUACACUUACUGUGGUAUGUCAAAAAGCAGCAGACAGAUUUGUGUGUGUAG